AGCAAACAGUAUAUUCUUUCUUCUCGAACUUCAAAGUACUGCUAUAAAAAUCAGUUCGGUCAAUGUUUCCAUCGAAUAUUCAUCUUUAGCCCUUGAACAUUUAUAAUAAAAAAACAUGCCAGAAGGAACCAAGAAUAUGUUUUCCUUUUGGAGUUCUAAGUCAUUUGAGUGUCCAAAUGUUAGCAAUGGUCUCAAAACUUGUUAUAAGAAGAUAUUGAGACCUUUGGAGGAGUAUUAUCUUUAUGAUCAGUUUUACUCUUCAGGUCUAGAAGAAUCUGAUUUUAAUUCGAAGCCAAUAGUUUUGCUUAUAGGUCAAUAUUCAACAGGUAAGACUACACUUGUACGAUACUUGCUUGGUGAGGACUUCCCUGGGAUUAGAAUUGGACCUGAGCCGACAACUGAGAAAUUCAAUAUUAUCAUGAAGGGAUCAGAUGAACGAAUUAUCCCAGGGAAUGCGUUGGUUAUGGACCCAAAGAUGCCAUUUCGAUCUUUAGAAAGUUUUGGGAAUUCGUUUCUGAAUCGACUUCAAAAAUCACUAGCAAAAUCCCCAAUUUUGAACAGUGUAAGUGUUGUGGAUACUCCUGGAAUACUUUCAGGACAAAAACAGAAUAAUGAUCGUGGUUAUGAUUUUACUAAAGUUCUACAAUGGUUUGCAUCUAGGGUUGAUCGAAUUUUAAUCAUGUUUGAUGCUCAUAAGCUAGACAUUUCAGAUGAUCUAAGGGAUGCAAUCGUAGCUCUAAAGGAUUAUGAUGAUAAAAUUCGCAUUCUCUUAAAUAAAUCUGAUUCGGUUGAAUCUCAAGAAUUGAUGCGAGUUUAUGGUGCAUUAAUGUGGUCUCUUGGUAAAGUAUUUAACACACCCGAAGUUGUUAGAGUUUACAUCGGAUCGUUUUGGGAUCACCCUUUGAAAAGUACAAUAAAUCGUCAGCUAUUCGAAAAAGAAGAGGAAGACCUUUUACAAGAUUUAAAAUCUUUACCACAGCAAUCAACUAUUCGAAAGUUAAAUGAUUUUAUUAAAAGAGCAAGACAUGUAAAAAUUCAUGGAUUAAUUAUAUCGGAAUUAGCAAAGAAUAUUCCCAUGUUUGGCCGGGAUAAAAAGAAAAAGGAUCUUCUCCAAAAUUUGGAAUCAAUUUAUUCUAAAGUCCAAACGGAUCAUCAUUUAUUUAAAAAUGACCUUCCAGACAUUAAUCAAAUGAGAGAGAAACUUCGUAAUGUUGAUUGGUCCUUGUUUAAGGGCCCUGACAGAAAACUUAAUGAAAAAGUUGAUAAAAUGUUGUCAAAGGACAUGUCUCAACUUAUCAAAAUUGAUUCCAUUGACGUUAACGACAUUAAAAUCGAUAUUAAUUCUAAUGACACACCUUUUAAAGCUAUUCGAUUCAAGACGAGGCAACUUGGAGUAAACAUAACGUUCCAGCAGCCGAAGAAAAUAAAUGGUUCGUUGCUAACGAAUACGCUGUCAACUACGUAGACUGGGUGGAGAGAUUCGAUGCUCUUGGACCAGUCGAUGGAAAAUUAUCAGGAAAUAUAGUUCGAAAAGAAUUUUUAUCAACAACCAAACUACAUAAAGGAACACUAGCAAGAAUUUGGAUUUUGUCUGAUUACGAUCAGGAUGGAUUCCUAAAUAAAAAUGAAUAUUGUCUAGCAAUGUAUUUGAUUGAGUGUAAGCUAAAUGGCAAAGAUCUACCGCACACUUUACCACAUUUUCUUAUCCCUCCAUCAGAAGUGAUCUAAAAUAACGAAGAUAUAUUUUAACAAAUUGACUACAAUACUAGUAUAAAAUGAAUUUUGUUAAUAUUUUGAAAUAUUGGGAAAAUAUAACUAUAAUUUCCUGUUAUUAUAAACCUGA
rnacentral:misc_RNA from 1 species